rnacentral:lncRNA from 1 species
GAACAAUUUGAUAUAAUUUGAUACUCUGGUGACGUUACUCUGCAAGUUUUUUGGGUGAUAUGUUGAUUUUUUUCAACUUUUUUUUAACAUUUAUAGAUUUCACAAUGCAAAUGUACCACAAUGGUGUGAAUUUCGGGACAUGAUGGGCAAUUAGUUCAGAACUGAAAGAACUGAUCAAGUCUAGUUCAACUUCCCAAACAAAGGUUUUAGAGACUACCAUGAAAAUGAGAAGGUUAUAGCUUUAUACAGCACCCCUUCAAGAAAAUACCCUUGGAAUAAGAGGGAUUCACCUGUGGUCUUUGGAAAGAGAGAGAGAAAAAAAGAUGGAUUCUGGAAAAGUGUCGAUAUUUACAGCAAGGAUUUGAGACUCAGGCAGACCUGGAUUUGAUUCCUUACGGUACUUAGCGGCUGCAUGACCUGGAGGUCUGUGCUUGCUUGUGUCUGACACCACUGAGACUGAACACUUCUCUAUGAAGGUGUGUACUGAUUACUCAUACUCUUUGCCCAAUUUUAUGUU